CAAAACCUAAAGUUUAGUUUCAUGUGCGCACGCAAAACCUUUUCAUGUGCGCACAUGAAAGUUUCAGCGAAGAACUACGGUUAAAUGGCGGCUAAAGAUGAGUUGGAAACGUUCCUUAAAAGCCGUAAUAUACCAGACAAUAUCAUAAUUAAACUGAAAGAUAAUAAGAUCGACGUUAAUGUCAUAGCUUUAAUGGCAGAUGAAGAGCUGGGUCAAUAUAUCGGAGACCUACUUGCUGUUCGAGCAUUUUGUUGGCAAAGAACUUUUGACGAACAACAGUGAGACAGUGAAGUCAGCUCUGAUGCACAGGGUUCGAGAAAAAAAUAGAAGGAAGAACCCGCCAAAAGCGACACGUACAGCUGUCGGCAAUAGAUAUGCAGUGAAAGACAAACGGCGGGUCGAAAUGGGAUGGCUUCACUUUCAGAAGGGCGAGUAUCACCAGGUCCGAACAAAAGGUGGAGGUGGAACACGGCACCUGUCUGUGCAGAAAACUGUAACCGUGGUUGAGCUGCUACAGAUAGGCAAAGAUUUAUUCUUCCCAGAUGGACUCUCUGCCAAAGGACCUAUUGGGAAGUUCGAUUUUGACAUUCGUGAUUUCAGUCAGAAUUCACUACCUCAUGAUUGCACCGUAGACCACCUGUAUGAGAGGACUAAGCUGCAAAUGCUUCGCAUUUACACAUGCUCCCAUUAUAAAGACACCGCAAUCAUUCUCUCGGAUGCAUCCUCAGACUUUGAGCCCAACGAUGAGAGGCCAGUGAAGAACAAAACCAGGAGACAUCAUCACAAGAGGACUGAAUCUACCAAAGAGGAUCACCCAGAGAAAUCUUCUGAUUCAGAUGAGGCACCUACUGACUCAGUGCAAAAAAACUAAUGAAAGAGUAAGCUCCAGUAGAUAUUAGCCUACUGCAUUUUUACUGACCCAAUCUGAGAUGUUGUGCUGCCCCAAUCACAUUCUGUGUCAGUGAUGGAACUUUUCCCCCCCAUAAAGACAUUAUGUUAUGGUAGACAUGAAAGCUUAUGAUAUCUCAGAAGCAUUGAGCAAUAGAAGCUAGAAACCUUUUUGCGCUUCUGCACAGGGUCCACUGUGCUGUCCAAAGACAAAAUUGAAGUAACUUUUAAUAAACUGUGUGGUUUAAGUCGCAGGCCUGUUGCACACACUUGUGGAGCAGUACUUGAGUUACCAUGCACCUACAGCACAUAUCCUGAAUUUCGAACAGAAUUUGACUGUUUACUGUCUGGAGAUUGUUUCACAAUGGAUAUUGUGUAGACAGAGUUGCACUUUUAACUUUUCUGUGGAAAAAAAGUGAAUCCUAAAAAGGAGUUAAAACAUGAGAUAGCUAUUGACAGUCAAUGUUUGUUGUUAUAAUGGAUGUAAGAAAUGUAACACUUUUACUUAUUUGUUAUUAACCAUCAAUGUUUGGGUGUCAGUUAAAUCAAUAAUAGGCUUAAUGAUGACAACAGCUGAGUGAGCUUUUCAAAGAAGUGGUAACUCAUCAACACUCCACUUCCAUUUACUUCCAUAAAUACGAAUGUAAGUGUUGUCGUGGAAUUAUGAGGCUCCAUCUGUGUUCAGUGUAGUUUGGAGAUACUGAGCAUUAAUAGUUUUCACAUCUCGCACACAAACUGUAAUGCAUCCCGUUUAAUUUGCGUAUUUAAGAUGCAGCGGUAAACAACACAGUAGCUCACUUGUAAUCAGAAGGUAAAUGGUAUCUUGUUUUUCCAAAGUGAUAUUGUCAAAUGUAAUGACAAACAAAUGAGACAAAUGGAGAGUUUAUGAUAAACAGCUACUGUGAGGGGGAAAAUUUGAUCGUCACAGAUAAAUUAAUGCACUGUAUUUAAUUAUUUUUUAAAACACCUAGUGCUAAAACGAUUAGUUGAUUAAUUGAUCUAUCUUUAAAUCGUUUGGGUUGUAUAUCCAGCCAAAACAUUCAUUGCUUUCAGUUUUUCUAAUGUGAAGAUUUGCAGUUUUUUUCUGUUUGAUAUUACUGUAAAUUCACUCCUUUGAGUUUUGGGUGAGUUGGUUGGUCAAAACAAGACAUUUGAAGGAGUCACUUGGACCACUUGAGUGGUCGUGAUGGGAAUUUGGUAAUGCUAACUUUUAAUUUGGUACUAAUUGUAGGGAAAAUAUAAGUGUCCUUGAAAGAAAAGUUCCAUCAAAACCAAGUACAUCAUUUGUUUGUUGUUGGAAACUUUAAUAUCUAAUUUGUUGAGUUAUUUUUGUACGUUCAGGUAACCUGCUCCAGAAUUGUCUGUUGUCCUGUUGGGUUGUUAUAGAAUAAUACAAAGAAUAAUAGAUGUAAGAAAAGUAAAACUUGUACUUAUUUUUUUAUUAAGCAUAAAUGUUUAUGUAAAGUACUGACACAUGAGUUUUUGCAGAUUUCCAUUUAGCAGUUAAAUACACUACAUACUUGCUGUUCAUGAGAACGUUUAGAGAGUGAUGGUGUCCAGAAAGGUCUGCUGUCCUGUGUAGUUGUUGUAAUAGGUGUAAGAAAAGUAAAACUUUUACUUACUUGUUAUUAAGCAUAAAUGUUUGUUAGGUUUUAUUUAUUUUAUGCCUUUUCAGGGAAGCAAUUAUUACUGUACAGUACUGCAGAAUAUCGCAUUUCACACGUUCACUUGUUUUACAUUUUGGCAAAGGGUAAAUACCAAUGGCUGUUUUUGUUGAAGCCUCACAUACUCAAAAUGUCCAAGAUACUGUUAAAUUAAAAUUACAACUUUGUCA